rnacentral:misc_RNA from 1 species
GUAGGUGAACCUGCGGAAGGAUCAUUAAUGAAUCAAAUUCGGUCUUCUGUGCUGGUGGCAACACAUGUGCACGUCGAUCGUAAUUCCAUCCUCCUCCCAACCGUCCAUGUGUGUGUUUGGUCGACCUCUGGUCGAAGAGUUGUCACCCUCGGGUGCGAUUCGUUCCAAAUGCACCUUGGUUAUUUCACCCACUCUGGGUAUCAGA